rnacentral:rRNA from 1 species
GACGAACGCUGGCGGCGUGCUUAACACAUGCAAGUGGAGCGACGAACCAGGCUUCGGCCUGGGGCAAAGCCGCGAACGGGUGAGUAUCACGUGGGUAACGUGCCCCGAUGACCGGGAUAACCCGAGGAAACUCGAGCUAAUACCGGAUGUGCUGUUCAGCCAUGAGGCUGAACAACAAAGGAAGCUUCGGCCUCCGCAUCGGGAGCGGCCCGCGGCCCAUUAGCUUGUUGGUGAGGUAACGGCUCACCAAGGCAACGAUGGGUAGCUGGUCUGAGAGGACGAUCAGCCACACUGGGACUGAGACACGGCCCAGACUCCUACGGGAGGCAGCAGUGGGGAAUCUUGCGCAAUGCGCGAAAGCGUGACGCAGCAACGCCGCGUGAGGGAAGAAGGCCUUCGGGUUGUAAACCUCUUUCAGGAGGGACGAAGGUUCAGGCGCGAAUAGCGUCCUGGACUGACGGUACCUCCAGAAGAAGCCCCGGCUAACUACGUGCCAGCCGCCGCUGUAAAAC